GCCUCCGUAGCUCAAUCGGUAGAGCAGCUGACUCUUAAUCAGCGGGUUGUAGGUUCAAGUCCUACCGGGGGUACCA
rnacentral:tRNA from 1 species